rnacentral:rRNA from 1 species
UACGUAGGGCGCAAGCGUUAUCCGGAAUUAUUGGGCGUAAAGAGCUCGUAGGCGGUUUGUCGCGUCUGCCGUGAAAGUCCGGGGCUCAACUCCGGAUCUGCGGUGGGUACGGGCAGACUAGAGUGAUGUAGGGGAGACUGGAAUUCCUGGUGUAGCGGUGAAAUGCGUAGAUAUCGUCUGGAACGCCGAAGGUGAAAACAGCUCGCUGGGGCUGCGCUGACGCUGAGACACGAAAGCCAGGGGAGCGAACGGG